UAUUGCACAAUGGGCGCAAGCCUGAUGCAGCGACGCCGCGUGAGCGAAGAAGUAUUUCGGAGUGUAAAGCUCUAUCAGCAGGGAAGAAAAUGACGGUACCUGACUAAGAAGCUCCGGCUAAAUACGUGCCAGCAGCCGCGGUAAUACGUAUGGAGCAAGCGUUAUCCGGAAUUACUGGGUGUAAAGGGAGCGUAGACGGAUGUGCAAGUCUGAUGUGAAAGGCGGGGGCUCAACCCCUGGACUGCAUUGGAAACUGUAAAUCUUGAGUGCCGGAGAGGUAAGCGGAAUUCCUAGUGUAGCGGUGAAAUGCGUAGAUAUUAGGAGGAACACCAGUGGCGAAGGCGGCUUACUGGACGGUAACUGACGUUGAGGCUCGAAAGCGUGGGGAGCAAACAGG
rnacentral:rRNA from 1 species